UACGUAGGGGGCAAGCGUUGUCCGGAAUCAUUGGGCGUAAAGAGCGUGUAGGCGGUUCGGUAAGUCGGCUGUGAAGGUCCAGGGCUCAACCCUGGGAUGCCGGUCGAUACUGCCGGACUAGAGUUCGGAAGAGGCGAGUGGAAUUCCCGGUGUAGCGGUGAAAUGCGCAGAUAUCGGGAGGAACACCUAUGGCGAAGGCAGCUCGCUGGGACGUUACUGACGCUGAGACGCGAAAGCGUGGGGAGCGAACAGG
rnacentral:rRNA from 1 species